GUUUUCUCCUUGCUCUGCUCAGCUUCACCUCUGCAGUGGUGUAGUUGUCGUUAUCAGGAGAGAAAGAAAUGAGUAUUGUAAUGCACGGCAGAGAGACCGUCUAGUGGUCUCCUCUGUUCCCCUUUCAGUGCUCUACAGUU